GGAUUAGAUACCCUGGUAGUCCACGCCGUUUACGAUGAGCACUAGUCGGUUGUCUUGUUAGGGAUGGCCCUUGGAGAGAAAUUGUUAAGUGCUCCGCCUGGGGAGUAUGCUCGCAAGGCUGUAACUCAAAGGAAUUGACGUGGGCUCACACAAGCGCUGGAGGAUGUGGUCUAAUUCGAAGCAACGCGAAGAACCUUACCAGGUCUUGACAUGCUGGGAUCAACCGUGUGAAAGCACGGGGCUUGCCCAUACGGGUGUAACCAGCACAGGUGCUGCAUGGCUGUCGUCAGCUCGUGCCGUGAGGUGUUAGGUUAAGUCCUUUAACGAGCGAAACCCCUAUGAUUUGUUGCCAGCGGUUCGGCCGGGGACUCAAAUCAGACUGCCGGGUGUAACUAGGAGGAAGCUGGGGACGACGUCAAGUCAUCAUGGCCCUUAUGACCUGGGCUACACACGUCCUACAAUGGUCGGUACAGAGGGUUGCCAAGCCGCGAGGCGGAGCCAAUCCCUUAAAGCCGGCCCCAGUUCGGAUUGCAGGCUGCAAUUCGCCUGCAUGAAGCCGGAAUCGCUAGUAAUCGCGGGUCAGCUACACCGCGCCGAAUUUGUUCCUGAGCCUUGUACACACCGCCCGUCAAGCCACCCGAAUUGGUCGCACCCGAAGUCGUAGUUCCAACCGCAAGGAGGACGCGCCGAAG
rnacentral:rRNA from 1 species